rnacentral:ncRNA from 1 species
CAGAGUAGAGAGCUGUGCGUAAAGUGUCCGCAGAACGGGGAGUUGUCUGUGGAACGAAAAGCCGUGAUACGGUUUGCGGUGCAGCUUUCGCAUCCCGCUG